rnacentral:rRNA from 1 species
GGAAUUUUAGGCAAUGGAGGGAACUCUGAUCUAGCGACGCCGCGUGCAGGAAGAAGGUCUUCGGAUUGUAAACUGCUGUGGUAAGGGAAAAAUGCUAUGUAGAGUGGAAAGCUACAUAGAGGGAUGGUACCUUACUAGAAAGCCCCGGCUAACUACGUGCCAGCAGCCGCGGUAAUACGUAGGGGGCGAGCGUUACCCGGAAUCACUGGGCGUAAAGGGAGCGUAGGUGGCCUAACAUGUCAACAGUGAAAACCCGGAGCUCAACUCAUGGCGUGGAGUUGAAACUGGUAGGCUUGAGGACGGUAGAGGAAGGCGGAACUGCCAGUGUAGGGGUAAAAUGCGUAGAUAUUGGGAGGAACGCCGGUGACGAAGGUGGUUUUCUGGGCCGGUUCUGACACUGAUGCUCGAAAGCCAGGGGAGCGAAC